rnacentral:rRNA from 1 species
GAUGAACGCUGGCGGCGUGCCUAAUACAUGCAAGUCGAGCGAGCGGCGGACGGGUGAGUAAUGUCUGGGAAACUGCCUGAUGGAGGGGGAUAACUACUGGAAACGGUAGCUCAUACCGCAUACCAUCAGAUGUGCCCAGAGGGGAUUCGCUAGUAGGUGGGGUAACGGCUCACCUAGGCGACGAUCCCUAGCUGGUCUGAGAGGAUGACCAGCCACACUGGAACUGAGACACGGUCCAGACUCCUACGGGAGGCAGCAGUGGGGAAUAUUGCACAAGGGGCGCAAGCCUGAUGCAGCCAUGCCGCGUGUAUGAAGAAGGCCUUCGGGUUGUAAAGUACUUUCAGCGGGGAGGCGUUACCCGCAGAAGAAGCACCGGCUAACUCCGUGCCAGCAGCCGCGGUAAUAC